rnacentral:rRNA from 1 species
GGCCUUUUGAAAAUGAUUUAAGGUCGGGCCUGCCCAAUGACAAAGUUUAAUGGCCGCGGUAUAUUAACUGUGCAAAGGUAGCAUAAUCAUUAGUUUUUUAAUUGAAAGCUAGAAUGAAGGGUUUAAUGAAAAAAGUUCUGUCUUUGGCUGAAUUUUUUAGAAGUUUAUUUUUAAGUAAAAAAGCUUAAAUAAUUAUAGAAGACGAGAAGACCCUAUAGAGUUUAAUAUUUAAAUAAUAUAUUGUAUUUAGUAUUUUUAACUUAUUUUUUUUGAAUAUUUGGUUGGGGUGAUUGAAAAAUUAAUAGAACUUUUUUUAUAAUAAACAUUAAUUUAUGGUUUAAUGAUCCUUUAUUUUAGAUUAAAAGAAUAAAUUACCUUAGGGAUAACAGCGUGAUUUUUUUUAGAGUUCUUAUCGAAAGAAAAGAUUGCGACCUCGAUGUUGGAUUAAAAUAAAUUAUUGGUGUAGAAGCUAAUAUUAUUAGGUCUGUUCGACCUUUAUAUUUUUACAUGAUCUGAGUUUAGACCGGUUUAAG